rnacentral:rRNA from 1 species
AGUCGCCUACGGGAGGCAGCAGUGAGGAAUAUUGGUCAAUGGCCGAGAGGCUGAACCAGCCAAGUCGCGUGGGGGAUGACGGCCCUACAGGUUGUAAACCUCUUUUGUCGGGGAGCAAAGAGAGUCACGUGUGGCUCAUUGAGAGUACCCGAAGAAAAAGCAUCGGCUAACUCCGUGCCAGCAGCCGCGGUAAUACGGAGGAUGCGAGCGUUAUCCGGAUUUAUUGGGUUUAAAGGGUGCGCAGGCGGAGGUGCAAGUCAGUGGUCAAAUUGCGGGGCUCAACCCCGUACUGCCGUUGAAACUGC